rnacentral:lncRNA from 1 species
UGGUAGCACAGCAGUGUGACACUGGGGAAAGUGUGUGUGCCUGCACUCAAGAGGAGCCAAUGAGGUGCCAAUAGUCCCCCGGGGGAGGUGGGGGAGGGGUGACCCAGAUCCCCAAGGGAGCCCUGCUCCCCAGUGUUUUAGAGCUGUGUAUGAGGAGGUUAGGCUGGGCCCUUAACCACCUGCUGGGGAAGCCAAGCUGAGCAGAAAAAACGGCCAACAGGAAGAAGCACAGGAAACACCUGUGUGUGGAUACAGGUGGCUCAUUCCAGAAGGGGCUGGAGUGGGGGUGGUGGCAGGCAGACAGCCCUCAGCACAUGACACAGCUCUAUGCUCCCUCUAUAACUAUGAAGGGUGGCAUGGAGGGAUGGUGGAUGUUGUGCAGCUCAGCUUUUUGGAUGGUUGGCUAGGGUGGCAGGGGGUGGAGAAAGCAAACAAGUGAUAGAGACCAAGCCAGCACCCAAAGUUGGCCACAGUUUGGGCCUGCCCCAAGAGCCCCUAUAGGAAGAGUACAGUCCCAGAACCACCCCAAGGAGCCUAUCAGGCCUGAGGCCCUACAAGAGGCCCACUAGUGGGGCAGGACUAUCCACUUGGAUCCAAAUUGUAGCCUGUGUGGUCAGGAAAGAGGAAGUGAACAUUCACUGGCCAGGUCCUGGGAAAGUGCAGACAGGGGUGACUGGGCCAGGAUGAGCUCACAGCUCAAUCCACAGGAGAGCACAGGGCCUGGGCAAGAAGUAGAGGAUGGAAAAAUAUCAUCCCAACCAAGGGUUAAAUGAAGCAGUCACCAAAAAUCUGAGCAGCCUGCUUUCCAAUGCUGAGAAGGGAUAGGGCCCCUAACUCUGUCCUUUACAAGGAGAGUCCCAAGGCCAGAGCCUAGUAUUCAGCUCUAGCUGAGGGUGAGUGUGAGGGUCAGGAUGAGCAGGAGCCAGAAUUAGGGCACUGUGAGCACAGCCAGGUACAGGUGAAGGACUAUCAAGACCAAAGCAAAAAGUCUCAGGCCUUUGUCCCAUCAAGCCUACCUAGCUUAGAGCAGUGUGGAUCAAUUCCAGAACAGCCACUCGACCCCUCUCCAUUAACACCCUGAUGUCAGGCCAAAUGGCCUCCUACACCUAGGCCCAGGCCCAUGUAUGUGAUGUAGUUGAGGACAGGGAGAGGCUCUCGUACCCUCCCCUCCCCCAACAUACACACAGCCUCACAGGUGCUCCCCCACCACCCGGCACUCCCUCCACCUCCUACCUGCUGUCACACAGGUUCAGGGAGGCACUCAUUCCUGCUGCCCAAAGUGAUGGGGGGGAGGGGGCCUGAUGACACCAUCAGGAUUCAAAGGCACCAGGGCAGGGAAAGCCUAUGCAUAGCUGUCCUGUGGAGCCUGUGCCAGCCUCUGUGAGAGGACAGCAGAAGUGUUACAUACUGAGGAGUGCCCCAUCAAUCAAGUCCAUCAAGGCCACAGCUAUGCCUUUGCCAUCAUAGUUGGAGCUCUCUCAGGACAAAAUAUAAGUGCAGGAUACAAAAGAGGGACCAGACUGAGGUAGUCCAGGAUAGUUUAUUGUGUUGGUGGUCAUCGGCGCUUCCCCUUUCUCCCCCUUCGUCUUCUAAUCUUACCUUUUUUCCUGUCUCCCACUCUUCUUCUCCGUGUAUUCAAAGCUGUAGAGAACCAAAAAAAAGAAGAAAGAAAGGCAUGUUUGUGAAGGCAAAGAAGCAGAUGGGUUGGCACGUGGGAAGAGGACUGCUUGCUUCUUUGUCUCACCCACAAAGUGGGGGUGCCUUCUCUGUGUGUUUCUGUGCACGAUGUGUGGGUACAAUUUGCUGAACCCUAGGCAUAUGACAUGCUCCUUCGCCCUCCUUUCCAGCCACCAGACAGCCCUGGAGUGUCCUAUUCAGGCCAUCCAUCUACCUGCCAUGGCUUGGCUGUCGGACCCAGACCUUCUGUGCCUGGGUAAUAUUGGAAGGGUAAGCUUGGUAAGGACUCCAGGGCCUAGAUGAACAGCUAUGGACAAGCAGUCUAUCAUUUAGAAAAUGAGACUGUCAAUAGCCUGCAAGAGAGGAGCCUCUUUUUUCAAAAGGUUACAAUAUGGUGGUGACCACAUUUGAGUUUGAGUUUGAUGUCAACGGUCAAGUCUCAUUUGUCUCUAAACAUACCCAGGGCAUAUGGACUCUCAAUAAAUGCUGCUUUAGAGCCACUGAAUAAGUAAUUGAAUUGCCAUGGCUAAAACCUACAUCUCUAGCUAUUUCCUCUGAAUCUCCUUACAAUCCUCUCUCACCUCCUACUCAAGCAUCCUCUUACAAACAUCACUCCCUAAGAUUCUAUUCUAGGCCCUUUCCUGUUCUCUCUUGAAACACUCCCUGAACUACCACAUCUAUUCCUCUGACUCCCAUUUAUAUGCUGAGGCUGAAUCCAAUGAUUCACACGGCUCUCUCCUCACCCCAUAUCCAACUGCUGGCUGGAUACCUCCUUUUGAAUAGCCAAGGUGUUUCAAACUCAGCAUGCCCAAAAUCAAACUGAGUAUCUCAAAGCUUGUUUCUUCUCCGGGUCUCUUGAGGUUACCAAACUACCAAGGGACCCAAGCCACACAAUAACCUCAACCUUGACUCUUUCCUUUGUCCCCUCAUCCCAGCCACCAGAAUCCUCUCAAUUAAAUGCCCUAAAUAUUUCUAAAUUCUGUCCACUCCUCUUUAUCCCCGUUGGCACCACUCAGAUUCAGGACAUGUUGACCUCUCACUAAGACACUGAAACUCCCUCACAGGCUUCCUGCCUCAGGUCUUACCCUUCUUCCAUCCAUUUUCCAUGGUUCAUCAGAAUGAUUUCUUUUUUUUAAGUUUUAUUUCAUUUAUUUUGAGAGAGAGAGAAGUGGAAGGGCAGAGAGAGAGAGAGAGAGAGAAAAUCCGAAGCAGGCUCCACACUGUCAGUGCAGAGUCUGAUGUGGGGCUCGAAACUCACAAAUUGCAAGAUCAUAGCCCGAGCUGAAGUCAGACGCUUAACUGACUGAGCCACCCAGGCACACCUUUCAGAAUGGCUUCUAAAACAAACCCACCACAGAGGCUCUCCUUUCGGAAAAGUCCAGCUCCCUCAACCUGGGCA